rnacentral:rRNA from 1 species
GGGUUGUGAGGUUAAGCGACUAAGCGUACACGGUGGAUGCCCUGGCAGUCAGAGGCGAUGAAGGACGUGCUAAUCUGCGAAAAGCGCCGGCGAGGUGAUAUGAACCCUUGACCCGGCGAUGUCCGAAUGGGGAAACCCAGUGCAAUCCGUUGCACUAUCGUUAACUGAAUACAUAGGUUAACGAGGCGAACCGGGGGAACUGAAAC